rnacentral:rRNA from 1 species
GUCCACGCCCUAAACGAUGUCUACUAGUUGUUGGGUCUUAAUUGACUUAGUAACGCAGCUAACGCGUGAAGUAGACCGCCUGGGGAGUACGGUCGCAAGAUUAAAACUCAAAGGAAUUGACGGGGACCCGCACAAGCGGUGGAUGAUGUGGAUUAAUUCGAUGCAACGCGAAAAACCUUACCUACCCUUGACAUGGAUGGAAUCCUGAAGAGAUUUAGGAGUGCUCGCAAGAGAACCAUCACACAGGUGCUGCAUGGCUGUCGU